GCCUAUUGAAGAAUGAACCAACGAGUUAUCUGCACUAGCGAGGUUAAGUGGAAGACACGGAGCCGCAGCGAAAGCGAGUCUUAAGAGGGCGCUAGUUAGUGUAGGUAGACCCGAAACCGCAGUGAUCUACCCAUGUCCAGGUUGAAGCGCAGGUAAAAUUGCGUGGAGGACCGAACCGGUGAGCGUUGAAAAGCUUUCGGAUGAGAUGUGGGUAGGGGUGAAAUUCCAAUCGAACGCGGAGAUAGCUGGUUCUCCCCGAAAUAGCUUUAGGGCUAGCCUGAGGUAGUAAGUAUAGGCGGUAGAGCACUGAUCGGGCUAGGGGCCGUAAAGGUUACCGAACCCUGUCAAACUCCGAAUGGAUAUACUGUAGAGCCUUGGAGUCAGACUACGAGUGAUAAGAUCCGUGGUCAAAAGGGAAACAGCCCAGACCACCAGCUAAGGUCCCCAAUGUCGUACUAAGUGGAAAAGGAUGUGGGGUUUCAUAAACAACCAGGAUGUUGGCUCAGAAGCAGCCACCAUUUAAAGAGUGCGUAAUAGCUCACUGGUCGAGAGACCCUGCGCCGAAGAUUCCCGGGGCUAAAGUACGAAACCGAAGCUGUGGCUGUAUACGUAAAGUAUACGGGGUAGGGGAGCGUUCCCAUAGGGUAGAAGUCGAACUGGAAGGUUCGGUGGACUUGUGGGAAGUGAGAAUGUUGGUAUGAGUAGCGAAAAGAAAGGUGAGAAUCCUUUCCACCGAAAGCAUAAGGAUUCCUGAGCAACGAUCGUCGUCUCAGGGUAAGUCGGGACCUAAUCCGAGGCAGAGAGCGUAGGAGAUGGACAACUGGUUGAUAUUCCAGUACCGGUAGUAAUUGUUUGAGCAAUGGAGUGACACAGAAGGGCAGGCAAGCAUGCGAAUGGAAGAGCAUGUGUAAGCGUGUAGGGUGGUGCAUAGGCAAAUCCGUGCACUGAAAGCCUGAGGCGUGAUGCGGAGUGAGCAGAGAUGCGAGCGAAGUUGUUGACCCCACACUGUCGAGAAAAGCUUCUAGUGAGAGAGCUACCGCCCGUACCGUAAACCGACACAGGUAUGCGGGGAGAGAAUCCUAAGGUGCGCGGGAGAACCCUCGUUAAGGAACUCGGCAAAAUGUACCCGUAACUUCGGGAUAAGGGUAGCCACUGUUGUGAAGUCCCAUGCGGAUGGAGCAUAGAGUGGUCGCAGAGAAGAGGCCCAAGCGACUGUUUACCAUAAACACAGGUGCCUGCUAAAGCGAAAGCUGACGUAUAGGUGCUGACACCUGCCCAGUGCCGGAAGGUUAAGGAAGGAUGUUCGGAGUAAUCCAAAGCAUUCGACUGAAGCCCCGGUGAACGGCGGCCGUAACUAUAACGGUCCUAAGGUAGCGAAAUUCCUUGUCGGGUAAGUUCCGACCCGCACGAAAGGUGUAACGAUUUGGGCACUGUCUCAACGAGGGACCCGGUGAAAUUGAAAUACCUGUGAAGAUGCAGGUUACCCGCGACUGGACAGAAAGACCCCAUGGAGCUUUACUGUAACCUGACAUUGGGUUUUGAUACAUUACGUACAGGAUAGGUGGGAGGCUUGGAAAGCUGGACGCUAGUCUGGCUGGAGCCUGUCUCUUAUACACAUCUCCGAG
rnacentral:rRNA from 1 species